GAUGAACGCUGGCGGCGUGCCUAAUACAUGCAAGUCGAGCGAACAGACGAGGAGCUUGCUCCUCUGACGUUAGCGGCGGACGGGUGAGUAACACGUGGAUAACCUACCUAUAAGACUGGGAUAACUUCGGGAAACCGGAGCUAAUACCGGAUAAUAUAUUGAACCGCAUGGUUCAAUAGUGAAAGACGGUUUUGCUGUCACUUAUAGAUGGAUCCGCGCCGCAUUAGCUAGUUGGUAAGGUAACGGCUUACCAAGGCAACGAUGCGUAGCCGACCUGAGAGGGUGGUCGGCCACACUGGAACUGAGACGCGGUCCAGACUCCUACGGGAGGCAGCAGUAGGGAAUCUUCCGCAAUGGGCGAAAGCCUGACGGAGCGACGCCGCGUGAGUGAUGAAGGUCUUCGGAUCGUAAAACUCUGUUAUUAGGGAGGAACAAAUGUGUAAGUAACUAUGCACGUCUUGACGGUACCUAAUCAGAAAGCCACGGCUAACUACGUG
rnacentral:rRNA from 1 species